GAGUUUGAUCCUGGCUCAGAGCGAACGCUGGCGGCAGGCUUAACACAUGCAAGUCGAGCGCCCCGCAAGGGGAGCGGCAGACGGGUGAGUAACACGUGGGAACGUGCCUUUUGGUUCGGAACAACCCAGGGAAACUUGGGCUAAUACCGGAUAAGCCCUUACGGGGAAGAUUUAUCGCCAAAGAUCGGCCCGCGUCUGAUUAGCUAGUUGGUGGGGUAAUGGCCCACCAAGGCUACGAUCAGUAGCUGGUCUGAGAGGAUGAUCAGCCACAUUGGGACUGAGACAUGGCCCAAACUCCUACGGGAGGCAGCAGUGGGGAAUAUUGGACAAUGGGGGCAACCCUGAUCCAGCCAUGCCGCGUGAGUGAUGAAGGCCUUAGGGUUGUAAAGCUCUUUUAGCAGGGAAGAUAAUGACGGUACCUGCAGAAAAAGCCCCGGCUAACUUCGUGCCAGCCGCCGCAGUAAG
rnacentral:rRNA from 1 species